UACGUAGGGGGCAAGCGUUGUCCGGAAUUAUUGGGCGUAAAGGGCGCGUAGGCGGCCUGGCAAGUGGAAGGUGAAAGCCCUCAGCUCAACUGAGGAAGUGCGCCCGAAACUGCAGAGCUUGAGUACCGGAGAGGAUGGCGGAAUUCCCCAAGUAGAGGUGAAAUUCGUAGAUAUGGGGAGGAACACCGGUGGCGAAGGCGGCCAUCUGGACGGAUACUGACGCUGAGGAGCGAAAGCAUGGGGAGCGAACCGG
rnacentral:rRNA from 1 species